CUCAAGUCGAGCUUCCCCCGCGCACGCGCUCUGUACUCUCUGCCUCUUUUAUGUCUGGCGCUGUGGCCGCCUCCCGGUUUUGAGCAACACGGAACAACAAAUGUGAAAAAUUCAAACACAAACACUGUUUUUAGGUCCCACACACCCGUUUAUUUGAGUGUUUCCUUCGGCCCAUGAAUUAGCCAUGGCGGUGAACUUCGGCAAGAUCGUCGUGGGGAUUUAUGUGGAGAUAAAGCGCAGCGAUGGGCGAAUACACCAGGCCAUGGUGACCUCUUUAAAUGAAGAUAAUGAAAGUGUUACUGUGGAAUGGAUAGAAAAUGGAGACACUAAAGGAAAAGAGAUUGAUUUGGAGUGCAUAUUCUCCCUAAAUCCAGAUGUUGGUCCAGAAGAGGAGAUUUCCUUGAGCCCUGUUACACCACCGCCUCCUACACCCAGCUCUGUGAAGGUCAACAAAAUCCCUAAGAAUCGUAGAACUAUUGCACCGGGAAGGAGUGAAAUCCCAUGCAGAGACAACAGAGUUGGCUCGACUCGGGGACGGCCGGCCCAGCAGCAACAGCCAGAAUCAGCACCCCCUCCACCAAUACAACAGCCCUCUCAGCCCACACAGAGCCAGACCCAAAGUCAGAUAACUCAGCAACAACAAAACGCAGCAAGGAGGAAGUCGAACUGUGUAAAGGAAGUGGAAAAAUUGCAGGAGAAGAGGGAGAGACGUAGGCUACAGCAACAGGAACUGAGAGAAAAGCGUGCACAGGAAAUUGAUACAACGAUUCCAAACUAUGAAAUACUGCAGAUGAUCCGAGACUUCAGAGCAAGUUUGGACUAUCGACCACUAACCACGACAGAUUUGAUUGAGGAGCACAGAAUAUGCGUUUGUGUUAGGAAACGACCCCUCAAUAAAAAAGAAUUGACGGUAAAGGACCUAGAUGUGAUCACUAUUCCAAGUAAAGAUGUUGUCAUGGUCCAUGAACCAAAACAGAAGGUGGACCUGACUCGAUACCUAGAGAACCAAACGUUCCGCUUUGAUUAUGCCUUUGAUGACAGCACAACAAAUGAAAUGGUUUACAGGUUUACUGCGAGACCCCUUGUGGAAACCAUCUUUGAUAGAGGAAUGGCCACAUGCUUUGCUUAUGGCCAAACAGGAAGUGGAAAAACUCAUACCAUGGGUGGAGAUUUUUCAGGAAAGAACCAGGAUUGUUCAAAAGGAAUCUAUGCAUUAGCUGCUAGAGAUGUUUUUCUCAUGCUGAAGAAACCAAACUAUAAGAAGCUGGAUCUUCAGGUUUACGCAACUUUCUUUGAAAUUUACAGUGGAAAGGUAUUUGAUCUGUUGAAUCGUAAGGCUAAGCUACGUGUGCUAGAAGAUGGGAAGCAGCAGGUCCAGGUGGUUGGUCUUCAGGAGCGUGAGGUCAAAUGCACUGAGGAUGUCCUCAAACUCAUUGAAAUAGGGAACAGUUGCAGGACCUCAGGUCAGACAUCAGCCAAUGCCCACUCAUCCCGUAGCCAUGCUGUCUUCCAAAUCAUUCUACGAAGAAAGGGCAAAAUGCAUGGCAAAUUCUCACUCAUUGAUCUGGCGGGUAACGAACGUGGAGCAGACACGUCCAGCGCUGAUCGGCAGACUCGUUUAGAGGGAGCCGAAAUCAACAAGAGUCUUUUGGCUCUGAAGGAAUGUAUCAGGGCUCUGGGUCGUAAUAAGCCUCACACCCCAUUCAGAGCGAGCAAGCUCACACAGGUCCUCAGAGACUCAUUCAUUGGCGAGAACUCCAGGACAUGCAUGAUCGCCACCAUUUCUCCUGGCAUGGCUUCCUGUGAGAACACGCUAAACACUCUGAGAUAUGCCAACAGAGUAAAGGAGUUUGGGAUUAGCCCCUCUGACAUCCCCUUCUCUCAGGGGGGAGGAAGUCGCUCUGAACCCUCUCCUACCUAUGAAGUGAAGGAGCUGACCGUCGAUCCCAAUGCUGUGACAGAGGGAGUCCGCCCCAAUGUCAACGCCAUCAACCAGCUGGACAUCAUGGAUGAGGAAUGGGAUUUGGGCAACUCCCCUCAGAGAGAUGACCUCAAACUGCUCUGUGAACAGAAUGAAGAGGAAGUCUCCCCUCAGCUCUUCACGUUCCACGAGGCGGUGUCUCAGCUGGUGGAGAUGGAGGAGCAGGUUCUGGAAGACCACAGGGCUGUGUUUCAGAUACGGUUCAGUCCCAAAACUGAAAAAAGGGAAUUGCUAAUGAUGAUGUUCACACUAUAUGUGCUGACAGGAGUCUAUCAGAUGGCUUGAGGAUGAGAAGGUUCUGCUGGAGAUGACCGAGGAGGUGGACUACGACGUGGACUCCUACUCUUCUCAGCUGGAGCAGAUUCUUGACCAGAAGAUUGAGAUCCUUAUUGAGCUCAGAGAUAAAGUGAGGUCAUUCCGUUCUACUCUCCAAGAGGAGGAACAAGCCAGCAAGCAGAUUAACCCCAAGCGGCCCCGUGCGCUGUAGCCUGGAACACACUCACGGAGAAACGACGAACACAAGAGUCCUGUAGGCUUCUUGAUAGUAUUCAGAAGUAUUCUGAAGAAACCUUUCCUACUUUCACAUGUGAAAUAAAGCGUUAGGUAAUUCUCUUACAAAUCAGCAGAGGAUAAAAUAAGGGGAUUUUUCUGAUCAUUAAAACCCUUGAAUGAUUGUGAGGAAAGCUUUAGAAUUUUUUUAUUAGUAUCGAUUUUAUUUAUUUUACUUUUUCAUUGUAGGUUAAGGGUACAGACUUGUAUCAGUUGAUACUCACAUGUUCUACCCUUUGGGGUUGUUUUUUUUUUUUUUUUUUUAGUUGUACCACUGAAAUCCUUCCUUCAAAGUUCUAAAUUGUAUGCAUGAACACUCUGCAACAGUUUAUCACUCCGUUCCUAGCAUGACUGACUUGGUUCAUCUGCACUUUAAAUAACAUUGUUUUUUGGGGGUCCGUUUACCGUACUUGGCACGGUGUAUGUUUCUGUUGAUUGGCUGUUUACUCUUUCACUUUGCCAUUUCUUGAAGGUUCAAUAGAUGAAGUUAAAGAAGUUCUCGAAGAAGCAUAAAAUGCACUGGGAGAAAGUCUUGAGGUUAUGUAAAUGAAUGUGAGAAAUGUCAGCAGUUAGUUUUGUUGGUUUAUCAAUGACCGCUGUCACUUUUCCACAUGAUAUUCUCUUUGCCGUCUCUCUCAUCUGUUCAUCUGUAGAACGUUUUCGUGCCAUAUCAUGUUUCCUUGUGGAAAGGAAGUUAACAGUCCACCAACUUAGUGUUUUGCUUUUAAAACUUCCCAACAUUCUCACAUCUCAUAUUAAAAUUUGUACAAUGUUAUAACUUUCAGCAAGAUUCUCCUAACAAAUAGGGAAUACCACUUAUCUGCUGCUGAGGUUUUCAGUGUUGGCACCUCUCAAUUCAGUGGUUGCUAAAUAAAGAAUGAUUCAACAAAA